UACAGAGGUCUCAAGCGUUGUUCGGAUUCAUUGGGCGUAAAGGGUGCGUAGGCGGCGCGGUAAGUCGGAUGUGAAAUCUCGGAGCUUAACUCCGAAACUGCAUUCGAUACUGCCGUGCUUGAGGACUGGAGAGGAGACUGGAAUUUACGGUGUAGCGGUGAAAUGCGUAGAUAUCUGGAGGAACACCGGUGGCGAAGGCGGCAUUCUGGACCGACAUUGACGCUGAGGAGCGAAAGCCAGGGGAGCAAACGGG
rnacentral:rRNA from 1 species